rnacentral:rRNA from 1 species
GACGAACGCUGGCGGCGUGCCUAAUACAUGCAAGUUGAGCGCUGAAGGUUGGUACUUGUACCAACUGGAUGAGCAGCGAACGGGUGAGUAACGCGUGGGGAAUCUGCCUUUGAGCGGGGGACAACAUUUGGAAACGAAUGCUAAUACCGCAUAAAAACUUUAAACGCAAGUUUUAAGUUUGAAAGAUGCAAUUGCAUCACUCAAAGAUGAUCCCGCGUUGUAUUAGCUAGUUGGUGAGGUAAAGGCUCACCAAGGCGAUGAUACAUAGCCGACCUGAGAGGGUGAUCGGCCACAUUGGGACUGAGUCACGGCCCAAACUCCUACGGGAGGCAGCAGUAGGGAAUCUUCGGCAAUGGACGAAAGUCUGACCGAGCAACGCCGCGUGAGUGAAGAAGGUUUUCGGAUCGUAAAACUCUGUUGGUAGAGAAGAACGUUGGUGAGAGUGGAAAGCUCAUCAAGUGACGGUAACUACCCAGAAAGGGACGGCUAACUACGUG